GACAGAGGCCCAAGCGUUAGGCGGAAUCACUGGGCUUAAAGCGUGUGUAGGCGGACGCCUAAGUGUCUUGUGAAAUCCCACGGCUCACCCGUGGAACUGCUGGGCAUACUGGGCGUCGUUUGGGCCAACUAGGGGCAGCCGGAACAAGCGGUGGAGCGGUGAAAUGGCGUAGAUAUCGCUUGGAACGCCGAAGGUGAAAACAGGCUGCUGGGGUUGCGCCGACGCUGAGACACGAAAGCCAGGGGAGGCAAACGGG
rnacentral:rRNA from 1 species